GAUCUUAUAUUCCUACUGCUUUUUAAUUCAACUCAAUUAGAAAGCCCUAAUUUUAAGACCUUUUUGCUUUGGUUCUGUGUGUUAGCAUGAAUUUGUUAAGUUUUUGUUGGUUACCAUGCUUCAAAUGGGUUUUCUACUGAGUUUUUAGCCUACUUAUGUCACUUUUGUAUGACUGUAUUCAUUUUGUUUGUUCAUCUCUUGCUUCUUUCUAUCGAUAUGGCUGGCUCUUCCUGUUUUGUAUGUCUAUUGGUUCUUCUUUAUUUAUAUGUUGCAAUAUAGAAUCAUGACCCUCUCUUGGUUUGAUUCUGAUUUCCUUAAAUGAUGGUUUGAUUGCAAGAUUUUCUUUAAAAACCCUAAAAUUCUACUCAUCUGUUUAUGUUGACUGAUUCCAUUUUCUUAUUUGUUGUAGUACUUCAUUCUUUUUGAAUCCUUUCCUAAAUUGGUAUAUUCUGUACUUAGGCUCAAUCAUAUGCUCUAUACUUUAACUACCCCUUAUAUGGUAAAAAACAACUAGUGUUUCUCAACUGAUUUUCUUUCCUUGAUUAACCCUGUUGGUAUCUGUUUAAGUUGUGAUUCCUUGAUUAAAGGAAGUACUUGUAUUAAUUGGAUUCUAAUUGUGAUUACUUCCAUAAUUUACCUAAACUUUUACUUGUUACCUUUUUUUUUCUGCCUAUUUAUAAAAUUGUAAAUACUCUAAGUCUUUCAUUAUCACAAACAGAUUCUUGGUUUUCAAAACUACCUCUCUUACUAAAAAUCUCUGCUCUCCCUCUCUCUUGUGCUAUUUGCUACUAUUAGCUAGCUGCAAGCCAAGGCUAAUCAUUUGUUCUCUCUUGUUCAUUUAUUCUACUUACUUCUCUCUUCAUUGAUAUGUCCUAGUUUUAACUUAAAGCUCCAACAAAAAUAUGCUUCUCUUAUUGUUUCAGUUUCUCUUAUUUCUAGUUUGCUUCUACUUGUGGUUCUGUUUAAACUUGUCAUUAAGUUAUAUUAUCAGAAUGCUAUUAUGUCUCUCCUUCCCUUUAGAUUAACAUAUUCCCUUUUAUUUGCUUCAAAGCAUGUCUUGUCAGUUGUCAUUUACUUAUUGUGUGCUUACCAUCCUAUGAAUCCCCAAAUCCUUAUCAUCCCUUCGAUGUGUUUGUGUUCUUCUUGACUGGUUUGUGACUAUGUCAGUGUCUAAUAUUUCUGAGCAUGUCUAAAUCAGUCAUAAAACCUUUGUUGGGUUAUGCUGCCAAAUGUCUAUGUAUCCCAAACCCCCUUGACCCCUGUGUGACUACUGGAUUCAUUUGGAUUCUGUAAACUAGCUAUGUGUGAUCCUGUCUUAGUGUGUUUAAACUUUGUUUACUACUCUGAACUUUUUCUAAAUAAUCUUUAUUGCUUUACUAAUUGCUUUCAAGUGAGACUUUCCAAUACAGUCCUUAAAAAGCCUUUUUCAACUUGUUUCCUGCACUUUCACUUUACUCUUAGUCAAUAAGUUCUGCC
rnacentral:lncRNA from 1 species